GUGGACAGGGGACGUUCGAUGAACAAGCGAGCAUCUGCAAACCGUAAAUAUCCCAACACGGACCGGGAAGCCCCGCCGUUUACGGCGGGGAGGAUGUCACAGGCAAUGAAUC
rnacentral:misc_RNA from 1 species